rnacentral:lncRNA from 1 species
AUGAGUGAGCAGCUCCUGACUGCCCUGGCCUCUCCCGUGCCCCUGACCGGACGCAGUGAGUGGGGUCUGGACUCCACCGAUUGCUCCUCUGCGGCCUUUGCCAGAUACUCACAGCCACUGUUUCUGCUGAUGAAAGACUUACUCUUCUCUGUCCAGUAUCUGCAGUUCUUACUUAUGGACCAGACAAGCCUGUUUUCACACCGGACCCUGAGAAGCCAGGUUCCAACCAUCCUUGAAUGGAUUCAGGAAGCUUUUGGUGAAAGGCAUUUUAAGAACAUUGUGACUUAAGGAAGUUAUGUCUCAGUGUAUCUGAACCUUAACCCAUUUCGGUAAUUAUAAAAUUACAGACUUCAUCCGUUAAUAACGAGUACACGAUGUGUUCAGGGCGAUGGAGCAACACCCUGAUAGAAAUGAGGAAACAGGGCUUAUGUGAGCUCAGAAUUCACUGCAGGAACAAAAUUAAAUGAAGCCUGAGAAAAAUUAAGUUGCUAAUUUUAAAGGGAGGAGAUUAGUAGGAGAGAGGGAUCACUCUUCUAUAAAAAUAAAUUUUCGUGUGGAUAUUUACGUUGUACAAUAUGAUGCUCUGAGGUACCUAGUUAAAUAGUUAUCAUAGUAGAACAAAUUAAUAUGUUUGUAAUCUCACAGUUCCUGUGGCAAAAGUGGCUAAAUUUUGUUGUUUAGAAAAAGUCUUGAGCACAAUACAUGACUAUGAACUGCAGUUAUCACGUCCUUUAAAGCGUCCACUGGUCCAUCCUACAUUUUUGCUGUUUGUAUCCUUUGACCUGCAUGUGCCCACUUCCUCCUCCAAACCAGAUCUUUGAUUACACUUUGUUCCUAAAGAGAGACAACAGGGCUUAUAUCAGUCCUAGGAAAGUUCUUGGACACAACAGAGAAGACAUGGUCAUCUUAUUGUGGUUUUCAAGGUGCUGUUUUACAUUUUAUUAUUCCCAUCUUGAUCUCAACGGGGAGAAAACAGCAUAUUCAAAUAUUAAUCAUUCUAAGCAUCCAACUCAUGAUUCAGAAAAACCUGGCAACUAUUAAUAGAACAGAUAAUGAAGCACUUCUUAUGAAGUCUAUCAGCAGACUGAUUAAUAUGUUUUGCAUGCUUAUUGGGAGAAUGAAAAGAAAGGCGAUAAUAACUGCUUGAUGAAAGUGAUUACUUCAAUUUCAUUAGAUUAUUGUUUCUUUCCUACUUGUGCUGUUAAUAUCCAGAUAAUCGAAAUGCAAAUGUUGGAUGUACUUAGUAAUAAAAUUACUGAAUUAUGUAAAAUGCUUACUUCUCAUUUUUAUACAUUUUAUGGAGGAUUUUCUAUUUUG